rnacentral:rRNA from 1 species
GAUGAACGCUGGCGGCGUGCCUAAUACAUGCAAGUCGAGCGAACAGACGAGGAGCUUGCUCCUCUGACGUUAGCGGCGGACGGGUGAGUAACACGUGGAUAACCUACCUAUAAGACUGGGAUAACUUCGGGAAACCGGAGCUAAUACCGGAUAAUAUAUUGAACCGCAUGGUUCAAUAGUGAAAGACGGUUUUGCUGUCACUUAUAGCUGGAUCCGCGCCGCAUUAGCUAGUUGGUAAGGUAACGGCUUACCAAGGCAACGAUGCGUAGCCGACCUGAGAGGGUGAUCAGCCACACUGGAACUGAGACACGGUCCAGACUCCUACGGGAGGCAGCAGUAGGGAAUCUUCCGCAAUGGGCGAAAGCCUGACGGAGCAACGCCGCGUGAGUGAUGAAGGUCUUCGGAUCGUAAAACUCUGUUAUUAGGGAAGAACAAAUGUGGAAGUAACUAUGCACGUCUUGACGGUACCUAAUCAGAAAGCCACGGCUAACUACGUG